rnacentral:rRNA from 1 species
UAGUGGCGAACGGGUGCGUAACACGUGGAUACAUUCCGGGAAGCGGGGGAUAGCCCAGGGAAACUUGGAUUAAUACCGCAUGUGGUCGAAAGACUAAAGGCAGGGACCGCAAGGCCUGCCACUUCCCGAUUGGUCCGCGGCCUAUCAGCUAGUUGGCGGGGUAAAAGCCCACCAAGGCUACGACGGGUAGCUGGUCUUAGAGGACGACCAGCCACACUGGAACUGAGACACGGUCCAGACACCUACGGGUGGCAGCAGUCGAGAAUCUUUCACAAUGGGGGCAACCCUGAUGGAGCGACGCCGCGUGGAGGAUAAGGCCUUCGGAUUGUAAACUCCUGUCAUGUGUGAACAAGGUUGUCUUGUUAAUAGCGAGGCAAAUUGAUGGUAACACAAGAGGAAGAGACGGCUAACUCUGUGCCAGCAGCCGCGGUAAUACAGAGGUCUCAAGCGUUGUUCGGAAUCACUGGGCGUAAAGGGUGCGUAGGUGGCGUGGUAAGUCAGAUGUGAAAGCCCGGGGCUCAACCUCGGAAUUGCAUCCGAUACUACCAUGCUAGAGUACUGAAGAGGUGACUAGAAUUCUCGGUGUAGCAGUGAAAUGCGUAGAUAUCGAGAGGAAUACCAACGGCGAAGGCAGGUCACUGGGCAGUUACUGACACUGAGGCACGAAGGCCAGGGGAGCAAACGGGAUUAGAUACCCCGGUAGUCCUGGCAGUAAACGGUGCAUAUUUGGUGUGGGCGCAAUCGACCGCGUCCGCGCCGGAGCUAACGCGUUAAAUAUGCCGCCUGGGAAGUACGGUCGCAAGAUUAAAACUCAAAGAAAUUGACGGGGACCCGCACAAGCGGUGGAGUAUGUGGCUUAAUUCGAUGCAACGCGAAGAACCUUACCUGGUC